rnacentral:tRNA from 1 species
GGGGCUAUGGCGCAACGGUAGCGCGUCUGACUCCAGAUCAGAAGGUUGGGAGUUCGAAUCUCUCUGGCCUCA